GCGCCAGCAGUGGAGUAUGUGGUUUAAUUCGAAGCAACGCGAAGAACCUUACCAGGUCUUGACAUCCAACUAACGAAGUAGAGAUACAUUAGGUGCCCUUCGGGGAAAGUUGAGACAGGUGGUGCAUGGUUGUCGUCAGCUCGUGUCGUGAGAUGUUGGGUUAAGUCCCGCAACGAGCGCAACCCUUGCUAUUAGUUGCUACGCAAGAGCACUCUAAUAGGACUGCCGUUGACAAAACGGAGGAAGGUGGGGACGACGUCAAAUCAUCAUGCCCCUUAUGACCUGGGCUACACACGUACUACAAUGGAUGUUAACAGAGGGAAGCAAGACAGCGAUGUGGAGCAAACCCCUAAAAACAUUCUCAGUUCAGAUUGCAGGCUGCAACCCGCCUGCAUGAAGAUGGAAUUGCUAGUAAUCGCGGAUCAGCAUGCCGCGGUGAAUACGUUCCCGGGCCUUGUACACACCGCCCGU
rnacentral:rRNA from 1 species